UACGUAGGUGGCAAGCGAUACUCGGAAUCACUAGGCGUAAAGCGCAGGUAGGCGGUUUGGUAAGUCUUUUGUGAAAGCUCCCGGCUUAACUGGGAGAGGUCAAGGGAAACUACCGGACUAGAGUGUGGUAGGGGAUACUGGAAUUCCUGGUGUAGCGGUGAAAUGCGUAGAUAUCAAGAGGAACACCUGAGGUGAAGACGGGUUGCUGGGCUGACACUGACGCCGAGGCGCGAAAGCCAGGGGAGCAAACGGG
rnacentral:rRNA from 1 species